rnacentral:snoRNA from 1 species
UGCCUUUAUGUGUUGCCCUUUCAUUGUUUCCAUCAUGAAUCGGGUGUCAGCUAAGGCAAACAGAGACUCUUGUGGUUUUCUUUGGGGGAAGUCGCAACUGCUUCUUCUUACAGGAAUUAAUUACAAGAACAUGU